rnacentral:rRNA from 1 species
AAGGUUUGACAUGGAGGGCAAAGUUGAAGAAAUUCAACGGAGGUUAUCCCGACACAGGUGGUGCAUGGUCGUCGUCAGUUCGUGCUGUGAAGCAUAUGCUUAAGUGCUAUAACGAACGCAACCCUCGUAUUUAGUUACUAUCAUUCAGUUGAGAACUCUAAAUAGACUGCUAAGGUAACUUAGAGGAAGGAGAGGAUGACGUCUGAUCAUCAUGCCCCUUAUAUCUUGG